AACUUACCCUUGUAAUUUCUGGUGAAAAUCAGAUGUCAAGAAAUAAGAAAUGGACCGGUCUUGGAUGAAUUUGUCAAGGGUGAGCGACGAUUAUCGAAAUGGAGCACAGACUUUUCUAAAUUUUGCAUUUCAAUAUGCAAGCCAGGAGAACAUGAUUCUUUACCCGUGUAAGAAGUGUGUCAACAUAAACUGACAUUAUCGUGAAGUUGUAUACGAGCAUCUAAUUGUUGAUGGGUUUGACCGGGGUUAUAAACAAUGGCUUUUUCAUGGAGAAUGCCCGCCUAGUACUUCCUCUUCAAGGAUGGACGUAUCUUAUGACAAUACGACUUACCAUCAGUGUGACACCCCUAAAGUGACCCUAGUCGGAAAGCAGUCUCGGGACCGCUAGACCGAGUCACCAAAUUAUUUGAAUGUGAUAAUUAUUGCCUAAAAUAUGUGAAUAUAAAUGUGUGAAAGUUUUAAGCUUCGAUUUAGUUAAUUGCAUGUGAAUUUAGUUGAUAGGACUUAUGUGAG
rnacentral:lncRNA from 1 species